rnacentral:rRNA from 1 species
AGCGUAGACGGAUGGACAAGUCUGAUGUGAAAGGCUGGGGCUCAACCCCGGGACUACAUUGGAAACUGCCCGUCUUGAGUGCCGGAGAGGUAAGCGGAAUUCCUAGUGUAGCGGUGAAAUGCGUAGAUAUUAGGAGGAACACCAGUGGCGAAGGCGGCUUACUGGACGGUAACUGACGUUGAGGCUCGAAAGCGUGGGGAGCAAACA